ACAGAGAUGGGCGGAGCUUAUACCGACUCCAAACAAUUUUGUUGAUAAUGGUAAAUGCCCAUAAGCAAUUUUUCAUUUAGUGUUUUCAUGGUUUAUAUGAUAAAAUAAGACUUUUCAGUUGAAUAUAUUGUUGAAGGAACGUACUAUUUAAAAGCUUUUUAUUAGUUUUUCCCCAGGAGAGUUAAUUUAACAUAUUAAUUCUGCUUUAAACUUGAGGUUUUUAAGAUCUAGGACUGCUUCAGAAUGGGUAUGUGCUAUGUUCCAGACUGUAAACAUUACAGUUCAAAGCAUCCAUGAAGCGAACUGUAAAAAACCUUGUGACCGAGCUACUACCAGGACCUUCAACCGAACCACUACCAGGUCCUUCAACCAAACUACUGCCAGGGUCUCAAAACGAGAUCAUGAAGUGACUCAAAUUAAACUUGUUGCUUCACUACUGAGUCCAUAAUCUGCAUUUCAAGAUGCUGAGAAUUACUUUUUGAGGCAACAGGUGGUUGAAUUAACUGAGGAGCUGGAAAAGUUAUUAACAAGGUUCAGCUAUGAAAUUGUGAAGAACAAAGUUGUUCAUGUACUAAUGUAUACUGGUAUUCCAACCAAUGAGCUGUUCAUGGUUCUUUUUAAACUAAUGGACAGCAUUAAAUUAAAAUAUUAUGCUGGAUGGAAUGUUCAGAUCAUUCCUAAAAUUGAUAGGAUAAUUUUGGAUUGCCCCGAAAUUUAUUCAGCAGUUCCAGCAAGCAUGGAAAACCAGAGAUUGACCUACAGUUCAUACAAACACUGAAACACAUGAAAAAUGUUGGUAGGUGUUGGGUAAUCACCUUUGUUAGCAAGGUUUAUCCAGGGUCUACAUCUGAUAAAAAAAUUGUUGAGGAGAGUAAGGUUCUAGAUCAGAUGGUGGCUGGAGAUUUGAUAUUAGCAGAUAAAGGUUUCUUGAUUAAGGAAAUUCUCUCUGCAGGAUUAUCAUUAAAUAUACCUCCAUUUUUAAAUUAACAACCCCACAGCUUACAGAAUCCCAAGUAUAUGAAACUCAACAAAUUGCAAAGGCUAGAAUUCAUGUAGAAAGGGCCAUCAGAAGAAAAAAGUAUUAUAUUUUGUAGCAACAUCAAUCAUAUUAUAUAUCACAAAUUUCAACUGUGUGCAGCCCUCACAAACUUGCAAUAUCCCCCAAUUAAAGAGGUUAAGGGAGUAUUAUUGGUAGACUUGAUUUGAUACAAUUAUUGUUAAAAGUAAUAAUAAUACUGUUUUUCUAAUUUAAUAAAAGCCUGUGAAUCCAACCACAAUUUUCAUAAAGUGAACAAAUACAAUAUGAUUUCUUGAUAGUAGUCUUUACAAUCCUCAAAUAAAUUAUUAAGCCAUAA